rnacentral:rRNA from 1 species
UGCCAGCAGCCGCGGUAAUACAGAGGGUGCGAGCGUUAAUCGGAAUUACUGGGCGUAAAGGGCGCGUAGGUGGUUAUAUAAGUUGGAUGUGAAAGCCCAAGGCUCAACCUUGGAACUGCAUUCAAUACUGUAUGGCUAGAGUACAAGAGAGGUAAGUGGAAUUUCCGGAGUAGCGGUGAAAUGCGUAGAUACCGGAAGGAACACCAGUGGCGAAGGCGACUUACUGGCUUGUAACUGACACUGAGGCGCGAAAGCGUGGGUAGCGAACAGGAUUAGAUA